rnacentral:lncRNA from 10 species
CCCACUCCUGGUGGGCCCCAGAAAGCAGCUGCUCAGCAUGGUGGGAGAGAGCAGGGCAGGGGCUCUGAGGAUGGCGGAGGAAGCAGAGGGCCUGGUCCUGUGCUGUGGACACUGAGUUGUUUCACAGGGAUGGGCACAGGAGCACAGGUCCAGGCCUCUCUGCAUGCUGGAAGCAGUCGGUGCUCAGAGGAAAGAGAAACAUCAGAGGCAGAUCCAAGGUACCCAAAUGGAGGCUGAGAGGUGGAUGCAGGAUGACUCCUGUGCGUGAAUGUAUGACCUGAGCAGUAUCUACAAACCAUCCGUUCUCCAGAGAUGAGUGCAGGGGAGCUGGCCAGAUGCUUGCCUGGAGAUUUCAUUCAUGGGAAGUGUCAAAAUAUUCCCAGAAAUGCACAGUAACAUAGAAAGUAGAAUACUGGAUGUUCGAAAGGAUUUCUUUGAUAAACUUCUUGGAGUUUGCCAUAAAACCCAGGGGAACUCUUCAAAUGACAAGCUUGGUACCAAAAUGGUCUUUUGAAAAGAACAAGAUUGGUUAAAUAGUCACUGUUUUUGGCAGAGUGGCGUACUUAGGAUUGGAUUACCGCUCAACUUCAAAAUCGUAUGGCCUGUGACCAUGGACACCCACCCUCUCUUGGGGUCUGCAGGCCAGCUCAGCGGGGACUGUCAGGAUGGGCUCCAGGAAGCAGGGUGUGUUCAGGUCUGUCUCUUACUUCCUCAUUCCCCUUAGACCUGCACCUACCAGGCUUGUCACCAAGGCACAAGGGAAUGAGCGAGAACCAGCCAUACCCCCGAGACCUCGCCCCAAACCAACCACUGUCAUUUCUGCUCACACUCUGAGACCAAGCAAGUCUCCGGGCCAAGCCCAGCAUCCCCGGUGCAGGGAAGCACAUCCCUCCAUCUUCACGGACGUGUCCAAAGCCGCGCGGCAAUCAGUGUGGUGGGAAGAACAGGGCACUUGACCACCUGACGCACGAACUGGGAGGGCUCCCACUCUGUCUCCACGCCACACGUAGCUUCUCUAUACAGAUGCUGGGCAAAAAUAGGAAGCAUGUUGAUCUGAAUCCUGUAUCAAAUGAUGGAGACCAGCAGACGUGUUGAUCAUUAAGGCUUCAGCAGCGUUCCCAGCAUAACUGACUAAAUGGCGAAAGACACCUUGAUGUUCAAAACCUCCUGAGCUACCCAGCCAUUCUUCUGAAGAAGAUUAGGGCUACUGCACGCGAACCCUUGAACAGUGUCUCAAUUAUUUACAUUCUGGUUGUGAUAGAAAACUUGGAAAAUAGAAGAAAGAAUUAAAAUAUUAAUCAAUAAUUGGCGGCCCCUCCAUCCAGAGAUCACCUCUGUUCGCAUUUUCAAAUAUUCCUUCCGUUUGCUCUGCUAUGCAUAUUGCUAUACAUAAUUCUCACCAUAUUUCAAAAAUAAUUUUAAUAGUCAACAUUGACCAAAAACUGUUUACAUUAAGUUUAUUAUGAACUAAUUUUCCCCAAAUAAGAGUUAACUUACUGACAUAGUUCCUUGGGAAGAGAAUGUGUUUUUUUUACUAAAAAUAAUACAAUUGCUAAGAAAAUACAGAAAAUAGUUCAGUGUAAUUUAGUACAACUAUGCUAUCUUAGUCAUUGACAUCUUUGUGUGAUGUUCCCAGCUUCCUCUGUAAAGGUAAGUCCUGUGGCAGCCGCCUUCAUCGGGAAUGGGCAGGAGACAGUGCCCCUGCCUGCAGCAUUCGACACACCAGGGACAGAACAUCCUGACCGCCAGCUUCAUGGAAGACAAUUUCCAUAUCUACCACUUAAGUCUAGAGGUUCUCUAUCUCUUGUUUACAUGUGCAACUCCCUGAAGAUAAAAACCUGUUAGAUUCAUUAAC